rnacentral:lncRNA from 1 species
ACUUUUCAAAGAUCAUAUCUGGCCGAGGUUAAUGCAUCUCAGUUCCAUAGUUUGUGUAAUGUAUCUCACUCUUCAAGAUCAUAUCUGGUUGAAGUUAAGCUGCCUUUAUGAUUUUUAUAUGUUCUUGAGAACUUUGCAUAAACUUUCAAGGUCUUUUUGACCCUGAAGUUUUGAUGCCUUGGAAAGAUCACAUGAAUUUUAUGGAGCUGAUAGGAAGAUGUAUCCUAGGGUUGUUCAAUUUGCCACAUUCUUUCCUUUUUGAUGAGAAUAAAUUGAGCUUUAUAGCCUUUAUUACCUCGGCAAGGGGGGAAAUGAGUACAAAUGGAAUGUGCCUGGCAUACAUUGAUGGCCACAUGCAUGGAUUAGGGCUUGGAUCCAUGAGAAAACCUAGUGGUAAGGGUACUUGAUCUUUGAAAACUGGAUGAAUAUUUGCUGGGUGUUUGUGAAAAUCGUAGCUGUUCCAUUUAGAUACGUGAAGGAUAAGUUAAAUGUACAGUUCUGUGCAUCCUUGUGGUGUUAUCAAACAUGAAGUUAACCAUUGAUCGGCAAAGGUUAUGCAUGUUAGGGCUUGAUUUAUCAUCAGAUGCUUUGACGUGCUUGCCUGACGUGGUUGCUUGCUGAACAUUUGGCAUUGUACCUUGUUAAAUUGGGAAAUAAGGGGGGAACUCAUGUUUGUUGAGAUUCGUCGUUAUUUUCAAGUUCCUGUGUAUCAAAGCAUGGAAUAAAUAACCUGUAAUAAUCGGGCACGCACGUGUGAAUAUAUCAUAGUAGUUUUUUUAUUUGUUGUAUAACAAGAAGAAAAGUUUAUAUAUCAUUAUGUGAAUAUAUAGAAUCACAUUAUAUUUGUAUUCAACCGAAUCAUUUGGAAAUUUGUUUGAGUUGAUGUUGUGCGAUGUCCUGGGUCCAACUAGGAUAAUGAAUUCAGUUUGGGUUGCACAAGAACCAAAUUUGAUUCCACGUUUUUGUUGGGUUAUCAAAUAUUGCAGUGCUUUUUCAGGUAACGGGAGUGUCGUUGGGAUAUUGUUUAUGACUUGGUCUUUUGGUCUCCGAGUGAGGAAAUCAUUGGCCCAUUAUCAUGGAAGGAAAAUAUUUGU